GCCAGGCAUGGUGGCGCAUGCCUGUGGUCCCAGCUACUUAGGAGGCUGAGGUAGGAGGAUCACUUGAGCCUGGGAAGUUGAGGCUGCAGUGAGCUAUGAUCGUGCCACUGCACUUCAGCCCAGGUGACAGAGAGAGACCCCAUCUCAA
rnacentral:SRP_RNA from 2 species